CCAUAAAUAACACAACCAACUCUGAUUGGCCAGUUCAGUCAGAAAAAGGUAGUAAAAACAACAAACAGGAAAUAAAACAACGCUUUACUGUGAGAUCAUCGUACAGAUAUAGACAGACGGACGGACGGACAGACAGACGGAGGAUAAAAGAACGUACUUCUUCCAGAUAUAUGACCAUUGAAUAUACACAGGUAGACUGAAGGAGAGAAUACUGACGUUCUACUUUAAAAAUAGCAUUUACUACAACAAUACUGCACUGUGUAGUGGUGUGACCUUAUCCAUGGUUACCAGUAGUAGAGGCCGUGUCAAACCCAGACAGAAAAGCCUAAGUAUAGUAAAGGGAAGACAGUGCGCAGUUCACUGACUACAUCUCCCAGAAGUCUUAGAGGCCUUUUCAAAAUAAAAUGUCCCGUCAUAUAGGCUCCAGUUCUUGGAAGUUCUGUUUCAAAAUAGUAGUUUUAGAAAUGUGGUUUAUAGAUUCACAAAAAGGUUCUGUUGAUUCCAUACUGCUCAGUGUGUGUGUGUGAUCAGAACUCUUAUUGUGAAAAAUUUUCAGGUGACAUACAGAAUACCCCACCAGGUGACAGGAACCUCUCCAUUGACACACAGAAUACCCCACCAGGUGACAGGGACCUCUCCAUUGACACACAGAAUACCCCACCAGGUGACAGGAACCUCUCCAUUGACACACAGAAUACCCCACCAGGUGACAGGAACCUCUCCAUUGACACACAGAAUACCCCACCAGGUGACAGGAACCUCUCCAUUGACACACAGAAUACCCCACCAGGUGACAGGAACCUCUCCAUUGACACACAGAAUACCCCACCAGGUGACAGGAACCUCUCCAUUGACACACAGAAUACCCCACCAGGUGACAGGAACCUCUCCAUUGACACACAGAAUACCCCACCAGGUGACAGGAACCUCUCCAUGGACUCACAGAAUACCCCACCAGGUGACAGGAACCUCUCCAUUGACUCACAGAAUACCCCUCCAGGUGACAGGAACCUCUCCAUUGACACACAGAAUACCCCUCCAGGUGACAGGAACCUCUCCAUUGACACACAGAAUACCCCACCAGGUGACAGGAACUAAACAGUCAGAUCGCUCCAUAACCAGGUGAGUCUAUUCUCUACGUAGGCAAGGCCACAGAGUUGAAUCUCUAGACUACACUAUACAUGGUGUCCCAUCCCAUAUGGGGUUUAUCUGGGUAGGUACGACUCAUAUUACAAAACACACCGAUUGUUGCUUUGGGGCAACUACAGAUUGAACACUAUGGAGUCUCCCAGGAGGGUAAGGUAAGAUGGGUAAGGUAAGAUGGGUAAGGUCAGAUGGGUAAGGUCAGAUGGGUAAGGUCAGAUGGGUAAGGUCAGAUGGGUAAGGUAAGAUGGGUAAGGUAAGAUGGGUACGGUAAGAUGGGUACGGUAAGAUGGGUAAGGUAAGAUGGGUAAGGUAAGAUGGGUAAGGUAAGAUGGGUACGGUAAGAUGGGUACGGUAAGAUGGGUACGGUAAGAUGGGUACGGUAAGAUGGGUAAGGUAAGAUGGGUACGGUAAGAUGGGUACGGUAAGAUGGGUAAGGUAAGAUGGGUAAGGUAAGAUGGGUAAGGUAAGAUGGGUAAGGUAAGAUGGGUAAGGUAAGAUGGGUAAGGUAAGAUGGGUCAAAAUGUCAGAUAUAUGCCAGAUUUGAUUAAUACUUUUAUUAUGCUUUAGAUACAAAAUGUAAAAAACCGUAAAAUAUGUCAAUAAUCCUUCCUCUAUGGAUACAAUUUCCACAAAAUCCCACAAAUGUGGUUCUUUUUGUCCUGGUUUUAUCUGGAAUCACUCACAGGUAGGUUUAUCCAGGUAGGUUUAUCCAGGUAGGUUUAUCCAGGUAGGUUUAUCCAGGUAGGUUUAUCCAGGUAGGUUUAUUCCUUGUAGGUUUAUCCAGGUAGGUUUAUCCAGGUAGGUUUAUCCGGGUAGGUUUAUCCAGGUAGGUUUAUCCAGGUUGGCCCAUUCCAGGUAGGGUUAUCCAGGUAGGCCCAUUCCAGGUAGGCCCAUUCCAGGUAGGCCCAUUCCAGGUAGGCCCAUUCCAGGUAGGUUUAUCCAGGUAGGCCCAUUCCAGGUAGGUUUAUCCAGGUAGGCCCAUUCCAGGUAGGUUUAUCCAGGUAGGCCCAUUCCAGGUAGAUUUAUCCAGGUAGGCCCAUUCCAGGUAGAUUUAUCCAGGUAGGCCCAUUCCAGGUAGGUUUAUCCAGGUAGGCCGAUUCCAGGUAGGUUUAUCCAGGUAGGCCCAUUCCAGGUAGGUUUAUCCAGGUAGGCCCAUUCCAGGUAGGUUUAUCCAGGUAGGCCCAAUCCAGGUAGGUUUAUCCAGGUAGGCCCAAUCCAGGUAGGUUUAUCCAGGUAGGCCCAUUCCAGGCAGGUUUAUCCAGGUAGGCCCAAUCCAGGUAGGUUUAUCCAGGUAGG